UCAGCCAAUCAGGUGAGCGCAACGAAGUUGCGCUUCCUGAUUGGCUUAGAGACCUGUCAGUGACAGCUGUCACUGACAGAUCUUAAUCGUGGAAAGGUGUCCCAUGUGUCAACAUGGGACCCCUUUCAGUCCGUUUUUGGUGCGGGUAAAUGCGCUUUCUUUUUUUGCCAAGUACGUGGAUUUAUCUCUGGACCCUGAGGUCCUGCGUUGUAUCUUCCCAAGUGGCGUGGAUGUGAGGAGACACGACAUUUCACCCGAUGUUCCAUGGGCGACCUACUGGUGAUGUGGACCUGACCCUCCGCCAUGUAGCAGACAACCACCUCAGGUACUGCGGUGUAUCUUCCCAAGUGGCGUGGAUGUGAGGAGACACGACAUUUCACCCGAUGUUCCAUGGGCGACCUACUGGUGAUGUGGACCUGACCCUCCGCCAUGUAGCAGACAACCACCUCAGAUCUUCCGGUGUAUCCUUCCUAAGUGGUGUGGACGUGAAGAGACAGAUCCCCUGAUGUUCCCUGGGCAAUCUUACAUACAAUUCAACUGCAUUACAAAUUUUAAUAAAAACCACAGGAAACUUCUAUUUUUAAAAGUUUAU